ACUGAAACAUCUAAGUACCUGGAGGAGAAGAAAACAAAAGUGAUUCCGUUAGUAGUGGCGAGCGAACGCGGAUUAGCCCAAACCAGUGUUGUUACGGCAAUAUUGGGGUUGUAGGACUGCGUUGUUGUAUGAUUCAUGAAUUAGAACUGUUUGGAAAGACAGACCAUAGAGGGUGAUAGUCCCGUAUAGGUAAGUGAAUUAAUACAUAGCAGUAUCCUGAGUAGCGCGGGACACGUGUAAUCCUGUGUGAAUUUGGCGGGACCAUCCGUUAAGGCUAAAUACUCCUGAGAGACCGAUAGUGAACUAGUACCGUGAGGGAAAGGUGAAAAGAACCUUGAAUAAAGGAGUGAAAUAGAACCUGAAACCAUACGCUUACAAGCGGUCGGAGCCCUUUAGGGUGACGGCGUGCCUUUUGCAUAAUGAGCCUACGAGUUACCGUUUCUAGCAAGGUUAAGCACUUAUGGUGCGGAUCCGUAGCGAAAGCGAGUCUGAAUAGGGCGUUUUAGUUAGUGGCGGUAGACGCGAAACCGUGUGAUCUACCCAUGGGCAGGGUGAAGCUGUGGUAACACACAGUGGAGGCCCGAACCCGUUGACGUUGAAAAGUCUUGGGAUGACCUGUGGGUAGGGGUGAAAGGCCAAUCAAACUCGGAAAUAGCUCGUACUCCCCGAAAUGCAUUUAGGUGCAGCGUAUUAUUAGUUUUAUAGAGGUAGAGCUACUGAUUGGAUGCGGGGGCUUCACCGCCUACCAAUUCCUGACAAACUCCGAAUGCUAU
rnacentral:rRNA from 1 species